rnacentral:rRNA from 1 species
GACGAACGCUGGCGGCGUGCCUAAUACAUGCAAGUCGAGCGAAUGGAUUAAGAGCUUGCUCUUAUGAAGUUAGCGGCGGACGGGUGAGUAACACGUGGGUAACCUGCCCAUAAGACUGGGAUAACUCCGGGAAACCGGGGCUAAUACCGGAUAACAUUUUGCACCGCAUGGUUCGAAAUUGAAAGGCGGCUUCGGCUGUCACUUAUGGAUGGACCCGCGUCGCAUUAGCUAGUUGGUGAGGUAACGGCUCACCAAGGCAACGAUGCGUAGCCGACCGGGGAGGGUGUACGACCACCCUGGGCACGAGACACGGCCCAGCCUCCGACGGGAGGCAGCAGUAGGGGAUCUUCCGCAAUGGACGAAAGUCUGACGGAGCUACGCCGCGUGAGUGAUGAAGGCUUUCGGGUCGUAAGACUCUGUUGUUAGGGAAGAACAAGUGCUAGUUGAAUAAGCUGGCACCUUGACGGUACCUAACCAGAAAGCCACGGCUAACUACGUGCCAGCAGCCGCCGCGG